UGUUGUUUCUUCAGCGCCACCAUCUCUAAUCCGUACAUCAUGGCCGGCCUCACCACUGUUUUGUAAACUUUGCCCUUCAUCCGAGCAGAGACUCUUCUGUCACAUAACACACCAGACAGCUUCCGCCAGCUGUUCCAACCUGCUUCUUCACUUCCUUACCACACUCACCACUGCUCUGGAUUGUUGACCCUAAAUAUAUGAAGUCUUCCACCCUCGCAAUCUCUUCUCCCUGUAGCCUCACUCUUCCCCCUCCACCUUUCUCAUUCACGCACAUAUAUUCUGUUUUACUUCAGCUAAUCUUCAUUCCUCUCCUUUCCAGUGCAUGUCUCCAUCUUUCUAAUUGUUAUUGUUUUUCCACAUGCUCCCUGCUUUCACUGCAUAUCACAAUAUCAUCUGCGAACAUCAUGGUCCAAGGGGAUUUAAAUCUAACCUCAUCUGUCAGCCUAUCCAUUACCACUGCAAACAGGAAGGGGCUCAGAGCUAAUCCUUGAUACAGUCCCACCUCCACCUUAAGGCCAGAGAAACACAUCCUUCCCAACGAGGAAGUAAGUCAGGGAUGAGAAUGACCAAUUUGGAAAAACACUGAAAAUGUCUGUCGAUGGGGGUGUGUUUGAGUUUCCUCCUGGAUAUUUUUUGCUCCUAUCGGAACACAGAGUGCACAGCACUUUGCCGGCCGGGAAUGUCCACUUUUUGUAUGUGUUCGGUUAAACAUGUUGAUACCGUUUUAGGUCCUAUCUUCAGGUUACACUUUUUUGAAGCCAUGCCCGUCUGAAACAGUUUUUGAUUCCAAAAGAAUAGAGCGAAACUGUCUGUUUUACCGGCUGAUUUCUCACUCGCAUUUUUAGCUAACAGUGAAAUAUCAUUGAAAAGCAGACAGCAGGGCUUCAAGUAUAAGUAUUUAUAUGUGCCCCACGAUCGACAGGCAAUGAGUUCAUGGUGACGCAGCCUCAUGCCCGAAGAUAGCUGGGAUCGGCUUCAACAUGACUCUUGUGAGAAGCGGCUCAGAAAAUGGAUGGGUGGAUUUGAAGUGAGAGGAAUUUUGGUAGAAGUUACCUGUUUUCCACCUCAAAUUACUGCUGAACAGAAAAGUGUAGAAACAUUUUUGUUUGAAAGAUGGACGUCUCAGCUUUCAUUUGGUGUGUGUCAUGUAUAUAUAGGCAUAGAACACAAUAUUCUUGUGCCUUGAACGGUUGGUCAAAAUAGUCUAAAAUGGCCGGGAACGGGAGGGAGGGGUCCUCUUUUGAAAAACGGCUGAUUGAAUUACUGUACUUAAAUAGGGAAAACAGCGGUUGAAACGCCACUCAAUAUGAGUAAUCACGAGUGAGACUUUCGAGAGACAAUCAACGGAAGAACCAACCAUACUUUGUGAACACUUAAGAAGUUAUUGCACGUGACGUCACCUUUUUUACGGCGCCAUAUUGCCGGUCAAACAGCUCCUCGACAUUGUGGGAGACAUUGAACCGGAGAAGAAUAUUCACAAUGCCCGAACCAGUUGUGCUGUUAGAUAUCACAACAGACGAGACAGAUCUUCAAAGAGAUCAUUCCAUAGAAUACCAGCUGAAAAGACCAGAAAAAAAAUUAUUAAUUUCGGCAAUUAAACGUGAUGGAUGGUGCCCAACCAAAUACACAUGCCUGUGUAGCAAUCAUUUUAUUUCAGGUUGUAAAGCUGAUUUGCGCCCUCGCUUAACAUGGGAGCUGAGCAUUAAUCACCUACUGAUUCUACACUGAAAUCUCAAUCUGCCAAGAAGCGAUAUGAUCUGUCUAGAGACCUGGAACAUAGGAGAAAGAGGUUUAGAGCGGCAGAGGCACUUCUGGAUUUACAGAAAAACAGUCCAGGUGUUACAAGAAGAACACAUCCUGUGCAAGUGGAAAGUGAAGUACAGAAUGAUAGUGAAAAUGAUGAUGAUUUUUGUUUUUGUUAAUGAAAAAAAAAUUGUAUCUGCAAAUCUAGAAAUAAUUUUAAAAAAAUGAAUAAAAUCAUUGUGCUGAAUUAGUGGAACGAAGCAAUGGGACAGUGAAGUCUUGAUUAAGGAAAACUACAUUUAGUAAAACUGCAUAUGAAAAUAACGCCAACAGAUAAAGGAUUGUUCCCAUUUGAAAUAGUAUCUAGUAGAUUAGAUUAGAUUAGAUUAGACUGUCCAUGGUAGAGCGCCCAGUGCAGCAGUCAGAAGAAAAUACUUGAAGUGAUUGGGUGAAAGAGAUGCUGCUAAAUAAAACUGUAAAAGAAGCAAAUGAUCUGCCGCCUACUGUGCCUUCUUCACAGGUGCUGUUGGUGUCCAGUGGUGAUUGGGUCCUUGGAUGGUCCACUCCCAUGGUGAUAAAGAUAGAUCUAUGGGCAUGAAUCAUCAUAGAGCAAGGACAAUCCCACCUCUCCAAUGGACGCCAACGCCUGGUACUCUUAUGUGAAUAUGGUGUCCCUCUGUGGACAACCAAUGACAGAUCAACAAGUGUGGUGAAGCUGGAACUACUCAGAUGCCCCGCCAUGAAAAGAAAUGUGCAGCAGCGACGAGUCCGACAAUGCCAGCAAUUCCACCUACUGGUCCCAGACUUCAUGCCAGGCCAGGAGAGGAUGCAGAGAGAAACCAUCUGAGGUCUUCAGGACGGACCUGAUCACCACCAUGAAGGUGCAUGACUCGUACCAGCUCAACGCAGAGGAUUACUAUGUACUGGCCGAUCCAUAGAAGCAGAAGCGAGAAAAAGGGUAUCCACGUGCCCGUUAGCCCGCAGUCCAUCCCGGAGCCCGUGGCCCGGGUGCUAGCUGACAAAAGCAAGGAUGUCAUGUUCAUCAGACCCAAGAAGCUGAUCCGCACAUCUGCCACCCUGGUCCUCAGUUAUGUGGACAUCAGGACUUUGGCGGAGGGUGUGUGUCAACACGACCUCAACGAGGAAGAUGUCACCUGGCUGCAGGUCAUUGACGAGGAGUUUGCAAGGUUUCCCUUCUUCCACUGGAUGAAUUCGCCAUUGAGUGCUAAGCACCGUUGUCAUAACAACAUGACACACACUACCGAGACACAGUAGGGCCUUGGUAUCGAGUACAACGAGAAUGUGGUGUGCGACGUGCCAGUUCCCCAAUGGAGAGGACGACAACGAGAUGGUGUUCUGCAACAAGUGCAAUAUCUGCGUCCACCAGGUAUCCUGCCAAAGUGCCAGUUGUGCCCGAAAAUGGGCGAUGCUAUGAAGCCCACCCGCAGUGGAACCAAGUGGGUCCAUGUCAGCUGUGCCUUGUGGAUCCCAAAGAUGAGCAAUGGGAACCUGGAGAAGAUGGAGCACGUCACCAACGUGUCGCACACUCCCAGCAACAGUCUCCACUCCGGCCUGGAGAGACCAUCAUCACUCAGAACGACAAUGUCAAGGUCAAGUACUACUGGCCCAAGCACUCGGGCCUUAAAGGCAGUGACUCUGUGGAGCGGGACUCCACCACUGAAGUUGAAAAUGAGGAAAGCGUCGGGAGCAAGACAAGCAAAUUGAUAGGAAAGGUUUGAAGGGACAAUAAAGAGGACAUGGCUGCCCUCGGCUUCAUCCCUUUCGCCUCAUCGUCCUUGUGUCUUGUUUGUAAAUGUGACCCGCAGGAAAAGCGUGUCAAUGUCCGGAAGAUGAAAUUGCAAGAGAUGGAGGAGGUCUUCCACCACUUUGUGGACACCGAGAAAGUGGGCCGUCACCUCAAGAUGACACCCAAGACAGUUGACUUCCUGUACCAAUACUAGAAGCUGAAGCACAAAGUUAACUUCAACCAGCUCCUGCUCAUGCCUAAGAAGGACGAUGAGGACACCCUGGCCAGACGUGAACACGGGGUGUUGCUGAGAUGACUACAGCUAUUCAAGCAACUCAGCCAAGACCUGGAGAGGGUGUGCAACCUGACUUGCAUGGUGAUGAAGAUGUAAAGACUGUUGUUUGGAAAAAUACAAGCGAUGGAGUGCAGGACAAUGGCCUGACUUUAAAUGGACAAGGACUCUGCACUGUCUCCAGCAGAGCUGAAGAAUCUCUUCUGUGUUUGCCCUUAUAUGCCAUGGGGUGCAAAAGUCUACAUGACUGUCCCAAUCACCAGCGAGGGUUACAUCUCUAAUCACGGCUUCCACUGUCAGUGGAGGCUGUGUGUUUAUUCUCCUUACAUGUUUCGCGACUCCAGUACCAAGAAUAUCGACACUAGACUUGGUUGGGCUGCUGUGUACCCGCACAUGAUGGGUUCAGAAAUGAGCAACGAUGUUCACCAACUGUUUAUUUAUGAUGAUGAUGAUGAUGAUGAUGAUGAUGAUUAUUAUUAUUUAUCACUAUUGGUCCUGGUUCACCUCCGUGGUAUUUUGUUAUGAUGAAUUUCCUGAUCUGUAAUUACUGUUCUUAGGUUGUUUUGCCUUUUCACAUUGUGUAUAAUCCCAUGCUUAAAAUCUAUGAUGGUUCGAGCAAGGUCAAAUGUUUUUUGUGAACUAUGCCCUUCUACAACAAGUAGACCCUGAUAAUAUGCAGUUCCAGCCAAAAGGAAACUUUUGAUGCUUUAUAGGCUCGAGUGUAAAUGAUGAGCUUUCUGAAAAUGCAACAGCAUUCUGAUGUUCCCACUCGUAUUUCCAAAAUGAUAAACAGGAGGGAAAUUUUAAAAUAAUCAUCCAUAUGUUCUCAUUUUGUUCAAACUGUAGUUGGUUACACAUCACCAUCAAGCUUGUACCUAUGAACUCAUUGUGUUGAUGUAAUCAAUCUUACAGAUGUAAACAAUAAACAAUCAAACAGUCAGACACACUCACACACACACUCAUCAUGUGAUUCACUGA